UACGAAGGGGGCUAGCGUUGUUCGGAAUUACUGGGCGUAAAGCGUGCGCAGGCGGCUUCUCAAGUCAGGGGGUGAAAGCCCAGAGCUCAACUCUGGAACUGCCUUUAAGACUGCAUCGCUAGAAUCGUGGAGAGGUGAGUGGAAUUCCGAGUGUAGAGGUGAAAUUCGUAGAUAUUCGGAAGAACACCAGUGGCGAAGGCGACUCACUGGACACGUAUUGACGCUGAGGUGCGAAAGCGUGGGAGCAAACAGG
rnacentral:rRNA from 1 species